rnacentral:rRNA from 1 species
UUGAACGCUGGCGGCAGGCCUAACACAUGCAAGUCGAACGGUAACAGGAAGCAGCUUGCUGCUUCGCUGACGAGUGGCGGACGGGUGAGUAAUGUCUGGGAAGCUGCCUGAUGAGGGGGAUAACUACUGGAAACGGUAGCUAAUACCGCAUAAUGUCGCAAGACCAAAGAGGGGGACCUUCGGGCCUCUUGCCAUCGGAUGUGCCCAGAUGGGAUUAGCUUGUUGGUGGGGUAACGGCUCACCAAGGCGACGAUCCCUAGCUGGUCUGAGAGGAUGACCAGCCACACUGGAACUGAGACACGGUCCAGACUCCUACGGGAGGCAGCAGUGGGGAAUAUUGCACAAUGGGCGCAAGCCUGAUGCAGCCAUGCCGCGUGUAUGAAGAAGGCCUUCGGGUUGUAAAGUACUUUCAGCGGGGAGGAAGGGAGUAAAGUUAAUACCUUUGCUCAUUGACGUUACCCGCAGAAGAAGCACCGGCUAACUCCAUG